rnacentral:rRNA from 1 species
AACGAAGCGGGCAAACGUUAUCCGGAGUUACUGGGCUUAAAGGGCGCGCAGGCGGCGCUAUAAGUCGGGCGUGAAAUCCCUCGGCUCAACUGAGGAACUGCGCCGGAGACUGGUGUGCUUGAGGAGGGUAGAGGUGAGCGGAACUAGCGGUGGAGCGGUGAAAUGCGUUGAUAUUGCUGGGAACACCCGUGGCGAAAGCGGCUCACUGGGUCCUUUCUGACGCUGAGGCGCGAAAGCUAGGGGAGCGAACGGG